rnacentral:rRNA from 1 species
CAGUAGCCGCGGUAAUACGUAGGGUGCAAGCGUUGUCCGGAAUUAUUGGGCUUAAAGAGCGUGUAGGCGGCUCGACAAGUCCGCUGUGAAAGUCCAGGGCUCAACCCUGGAAUGCCGGUGGAUACUGUCGAGCUAGAGUCCGGAAGGGGCGAGUGGAACUCCUGGUGUAGCGGUGAAAUGCGCAGAUAUCAGGAAGAACACCAAUGGCGAAGGCAGCUCGCUGGGACGUGACUGACGCUGAGACGCGAAAGCGUGGGGAGCGAACAGGAUUAGAUACCCCUGUAGUCCCUGUCUCUUAUAA